AAGUGUGUGAAUGAUCUAAUGAAUAUGAAAUGAAAUAUUUAGUUUACAGUUUUUCUCAGUUGCUUCGGUGCAUUUCUCAGAACAGAAUUUAAUUUAUCAAACUACUUGUGCACACUUCAAAUCAUUGCGUCACUUACGCAUUUAAAAAAGUAGCUUCUUAUUUUGUUCAAAAAAUUGCAAAUGACAGACAAAUAAGAACAUGUACAUAAAGAAGUCACAACCCAAAUCCUCAACAGUGCUUAAUAUAGAGCUUCAUUUAAAACGUCCAGAGGCUGGAUUUUGGGUUCUGUGUGGGGUUUGCCUUCGUCAGUGUCCUCCAGGGGGAGCCAAUGAGCCGCUGUGGAGGAUGGACCUGCUGUACAUCUGGCACACCUGCAAUCAUCUGGGCAAAUCAGCCAGAGGAUAAGAGGAGUUUGUUGUCAUUCCCUCGACGCUCGAGUGUUAGCCUUUAUGGUUUCUUCUGAAGAAGUUCUUGGAUUCCUCCCUCCAAAUACCUCUGGUCUCUUCCUCCUGAUCUCAUUCCACAGCUGGUAAUACUCAACACCUCUUCCUCAUACCUGCAAACCUGUCCGUCCUCCACCAUCCAGCAGUUUUCCCUCUGGACUGUCUCAAGAUCUCCCUGACACCAAGACCCACAUUUUUCAUUUUGACAAGAUCUUUGGAAAACUUAUCUCUCUUCCUCUUCUGCAGUGUUGCUGUCCUUCCAUUCCUCCAACAGAUUUUCUGUAAUGGGACAUUUCAUCAAAAAUAGCUCCUGGAACAGAUCUCUGUACUCUUCUCUGGGAUGUGAAGCUUCAUGUAAUGAAUGAGUGACUCCACUGCUGAGAGUCAGACCAGAACUUGAUGACCUGGGGCUGAUUGAAGAUGGCUACAGCCACAUUUUAAAUAUGCUGUACAUCUUUUCUUUUUGUAUUUUUGUGUUCUGUUUUCAGAAUCUGGUAGAAUUGGGAACAAAUUCUGGGUUUUGGCAACAUGAGAGGAGCAGAUGGGAAAGUUUAGUGACACUUCAGUGUGUCACCUCCCUGACACGUUACUUCAGUGAGUACUCAUUAAAUGUGCAGAAUGAGCCAGAAGCUCAAAUCUCCAACCACAUGAUCAAGUGAAGCUAACAACUGAGCAGUUAGCUUCACUUCGUUCAGAAAAAUCAAUAAAGUCCUUUUUACCGA